rnacentral:rRNA from 1 species
GACCAUCUCCUAAGGCUAAAUACUCUCUAGUGACCGAUAGUGAACCAGUACCGUGAGGGAAAGGUGAAAAGCACCCCGGAAGGGGAGUGAAAUAGAACCUGAAACCGUGUGCUUACAAGUAGUCAGAGCCCGUUAAUGGGUGAUGGCGUGCCUUUUGUAGAAUGAACCGGCGAGUUACGAUUUGAUGCAAGGUUAAGCAGUAAAUGUGGAGCCGUAGCGAAAGCGAGUCUGAAUAGGGCGUUUAGUAUUUGGUCGUAGACCCGAAACCAGGUGAUCUACCCUUGGUCAGGUUGAAGUUCAGGUAACACUGAAUGGAGGACCGAACCGACUUACGUUGAAAAGUGAGCGGAUGAACUGAGGGUAGCGGAGAAAUUCCAAUCGAACCUGGAGAUAGCUGGUUCUCUCCGAAAUAGCUUUAGGGCUAGCCUCA